UACGGGGGGAGCAAGCGUUGUUCGGAUUUACUGGGCGUACAGGGCGCGUAGGCGGCCACCGCAAGUCGACUGUGAAAUCUCCGGGCUUAACCCGGAAAGGUCAGCCGAUACUGCGGGGCUAGAGUGCAGAGGGGGCAACUGGAAUUCUCGGUGUAGCGGUGAAAUGCGUAGAUAUCGAGAGGAACACCUGCGGCGAAGGCGGGUUGCUGGGCUGACACUGACGCUGAUGCGCGAAAGCUAGGGGAGCGAACGGG
rnacentral:rRNA from 1 species